UACGUAGGGUGCGAGCGUUGUCCGGAAUUACUGGGCGUAAAGAGCUCGUAGGUGGUUUGUCGCGUUGUUCGUGAAAACUCACAACUCAAUUGUGGGCGUGCGGGCGAUACGGGCAGACUGGAGUACUGCAGGGGAGACUGGAAUUCCUGGUGUAGCGGUGGAAUGCGCAGAUAUCAGGAGGAACACCGGUGGCGAAGGCGGGUCUCUGGGCCAAUACUGACGCUGAGGAGCGAAAGCGUGGGGAGCGAACAGG
rnacentral:rRNA from 1 species